GCGAAUUCUGAGGGGGAAGAUGGCGAGUGGGGGAGACUGUUGCUGGCUCAAGCAUGUGCACGUCUGGAAUCCUAAUCCUUGCUCGUCGUCGACCUUUCUCUCAUACACACCUGUGCACCCGUUGUAGGUCCUCGAAAGAGGAUCUAUGUCUUUUCAUAUCACACCUAUCGUAUGUCUAUAGAAUGUAAUCGAGAACGUCGAGACCUGUUCAGCAGGCUGGCGGUCCAUAAAUGAAUA
rnacentral:misc_RNA from 1 species